CAAAAAGCGAAAAAAAAAAACAUUCAAAACACUCGUCCCUAUAAAUAAUUACGUUCCCUUUUCAAAAUAUUUUCAUUGAAAAGAAUCACAGGCCUACAUAAAAUGGAACACAAAAUUCUUUUCAAACUGCGUUCGUGUCGAGCUGAACGCUCCCGUUAUGUUCGGUGACGUUCAUUUAUCACACUUUGUGAUACGUGACAGAUGCUCUUGUGAAUCUGUGGUUCAUCAACGUUGUUAGAAUAAUGGCGUCGAACAGGGCGCGGUCGCUACAGAUAACAGUUGUUUUGUAACUGAAACAUAAGGGUUUUUGAUUUGAUUAAAUGUUUUUUUCCUGUGUUCUUUGUGUUAUAUGCAGGUAUUUAAUUAAUUGAUUCAUUAGAAAUGUAAUAUUAUGACCACAAGGUACUGUAGCAUAGUAUGGUAGACUAUGGUGAAAAUAAAGGCUUUCACUGCACAGUUCAGGCGGUGGCUGGGCAACCGGCUGUCACGCAACUCAUAACUCGUGUCGCAGAUUCAAUUCCGCAGACUUCACAAGGGUAGGGGGACCCAAUCAAUAUUGAAGGCCGUGAAGAAAUGAAGACUAUUCGGCCGGAAAGGAUCCGCCUAACAUUUCUUCAGAACCCUUAGUAUGAGUUUGCUUUACGUUUGAACGAAAACAGCGGUGCGUUCGGCACUCUGAUUGGCUGGCGCGAAACAACCAAGCAACCUGAGCGCCGAACGCGCUCUCGUUUCGUUUUCGUUCAACAUAAAGUAAAUUCGUACUAAGGGUCCUGUAGUAUGUCUUGGACUUCAAAGAACGGUCGUCUCCCAUGUCUGGAGCUGCUGGCUUUAUCUUGUUAUUUGUAAAGAUUUCUCUUAUAAAGACUUGUAAAAAUGAUUGUACGAGCAACUUACGACCGUAGCCAAAACCAUAUUUUAUGAAAAAGGGCUACAGAAAAUUAACCGCCGUACUCAGAGUCAUUAAAUGCUCACCAUAUCCCACUGAGAAUUAAGGCAUUUGGUAAGCAGUGGUCACUAAUAGGUUGGUGAUGUGAUGUGAGUCCGCAGGGUGUAAAAACUAAUUCAAGAUUAUGACUCCCAAUGUCAUUUUUAUACUCCCAAUGUCAUUUUUAUACUCAUCAUCAAAUACGAGAAACAACCAAAUGUCAUCAAUUUAACUCUGCAACGAAUUUUUGAUCAAUGCUUUUACAAAAACGCAAUUAUGCAGCGCA